AUUAACCCCUGCUGGCGCGAGCGUCCCGCUCGUGCGCACAAUCUUUAUCAGUAAAACAAUCUAAAUGUUCACGAGCGAGACGCUCGCGCCAGCAGGGAACUGG
rnacentral:sRNA from 1 species